rnacentral:rRNA from 1 species
GACGAACGCUGGCGGCGUGCUUAACACAUGCAAGUCGAACGGAAAGGCCCUGCUUUUGUGGGGUGCUCGAGUGGCGAACGGGUGAGUAACACGUGAGUAACCUGCCCUUGACUUUGGGAUAACUUCAGGAAACUGGGGCUAAUACCGGAUAGGAGCUCCUGCUGCAUGGUGGGGGUUGGAAAGUUUCGGCAGUUGGGGAUGGACUCGCGGCUUAUCAGCUUGUUGGUGGGGUAGUGGCUUACCAAGGCUUUGACGGGUAGCCGGCCUGAGAGGGUGACCGGCCACAUUGGGACUGAGAUACGGCCCAGACUCCUACGGGAGGCAGCAGUCGGGAGUAUUGCACAAUGGGCGGAAGCCUGAUGCAGCAACGCCGCGUGCGGGAUGACGGCCUUCGGGUUGUAAACCGCUUUCGACUGUGACGAAGCGUGCGUGACGGUAAUGGGUAAAGAAGCACCGGCUAACUACGUG